AUCAACUCUACUCCAACUAAAGAACUGUAACAGUUAAACUGAACAAAACUUAACUACAAUGGGUAGGUUCUGUAAGAGAGAAAACAGGAAGAGCAGCAGCAGACAUAAAAAGAAACAGAGAAUUUAGUUAAAAUCAGUUAACCAUUGAAUGAUUUUCCCGGAAAAUUUGGCAAUGAUUUUCCUACCUUAAACAAACAACCAUUUUUAGUCUUUGUGGUUUAUAGUUUCUUUGUCAGCUGAACCUCAAAUUUGUGCUCCAAAAACAUUCACCGUUGAUACUUUGCCUGCAAAAACAGCAAACAAGAUUAACCACUCAAAAGAGCUUUAUCUCUUUUCAGUACUGAAAAAUUCAAAUAAAAAUCCUUGCUAGCCUCUCAUUUUCACUCAUUAAAAACAGACUGUUUUGUUUUUUGUUUUGUUUUUUAUAAUUGUUUUUCAACUUUGUUUCUUCUUCAAUUUUUUUGCUGUUAAAAAACGAGAAGAAGAAACACAGGAAUUGAAUGAUGGUUCAAACAUUGACUCGCCUGUAUAGUACUCGAAAUGUAGGAUCUUUUCGCCUGUUUGAUAAUCCAAUGAGACAUCACCACCACCAGCAACAAAACGCAACCGCGGCAGGCGGUAAUAACGAGCACGUGGAUGAUGUCGAUGAUAAU
rnacentral:lncRNA from 1 species